rnacentral:rRNA from 1 species
UACGGGGGGGGGCAAGCGUUGUUCGGAAUUACUGGGCGUAAAGGGCGCGUAGGCGGCCUGCUAAGUCGGAUGUGAAAUCCCCCAGGCUUAACCUGGGAACUGCAUCUGAUACUGGAUGGCUUGAAUCCGGGAGAGGGAUGCAGAAUUCCAGGUGUAGCGGUGAAAUGCGUAGAUAUCAAGAGGAACACCUGAGGCGAAGGCGGGUUGCUAGGCUGAUACUGACGCUGAGGCGCGAAAGCUAGGGUAGCAAACGGG